AGUAAAAGUCGUAACAAGGUCUCCGUUGGUGAACCAGCGGAGGGAUCAUUACAGAGUUGCAAAACUCCCACAAACCAUCGCGAAUCUUACCCGUACGGUUGCCUCGGCGCUGGCGGUCCGGAAAGGCCCUCGGGCCCUCCCGGAUCCUCGGGUCUCCCGCUCGCGGGAGGCUGCCCGCCGGAGUGCCGAAACUAAACUCUUGAUAUUUUGUGUCUCUCUGAGUAAACUUUUAAAUAAGUCAAAACUUUCAACAACGGAUCUCUUGGUUCUGGCAUCGAUGAAGAACGCAGCGAAAUGCGAUAAGUAAUGUGAAUUGCAGAAUUCAGUGAAUCAUCGAAUCUUUGAACGCACAUUGCGCUCGCCAGUAUUCUGGCGAGCAUGCCUGUUCGAGCGUCAUUUCAACCAUCAAGCUCUGCUUGCGUUGGGGAUCCGCGGCUGUCCGCGGUCCCUCAAAAUCAGUGGCGGGCUCGCUAGUCACACCGAGCGUAGUAACUCUACAUCGCUAUGGUCGUGCGGCGGGUUCUUGCCGUAAAACCCCCCAUUUCUAAGGUUGACCUCGGAUCAGGUAGGAAUACCCGCUGAACUUAAGCAUAUCAAUAAGCGGAGGAAAAGAAACCAACAGGGAUUGCCCCAGUAACG
rnacentral:rRNA from 1 species